rfam:Gossypium arboreum cultivar AKA8401 contig_23737_1, whole genome shotgun sequence.
UGUUAAAAAUUCUAUCUAUUUCUACUAUUAAAAACUAGUGUAGUUGACAAAAUAACCAGAUAGUUACAUGUGAUGUGCUAUGUAUACUUGAUGUUGAUAUACAAAGACCAACUUUUAACAGUAGAAGUGGAUGAAAUUUUAAUA